CCUCCCAACCCUGUCUCCUACACUACACUUCAACCUACAGAGGGAGCAGCACAAGCAAACAAAGUCAAACCAAAAAGAGGAGAGAAUAAGCAAACUCUUCAUUUUCCUGAGUAAGCACUCAUUGCGCAGAGCACUGCUGCAGAGGCAGACCUGAACACAUCCCAAGACUAUCGACACUGGUUUGGGGUUACAACGCUCAAUUCCCCCCUCUCCCCACCACUCAGAAACUACUGCAUAUUUGCAACAGCAGCAGAAACAGUGGGCAGAAUGCUGUAGUAUCCAGACAGACAGGAGAACGAACGGGGACGACAUCGAGAGGACAGUUAAACAAACGUGCCAGCAUUCUCCC